CUCUGCUUGCGCAUGCGCAAUGCCAGCCAGUGCCUGCGCGGCUUGCUCCAGCAAGGUAAAAUUUCCCACUGCGAGGCAGGCAGUGAUGCUGCGGCCGCUUCGCACUGUGGCUCCUGCCGACCGCCAGGCGCUGUUACAGUGGAUGCGAACUAACCCAUUAUAUCGUACUGCAGAAACCAGCUCAACUAUGCAAAACUACCACCAGGACUGGCCGACACCAGGAGGGAUUCCAGAGACCACACUGCAGGGAGCAUACAGAAAGAAAAUUAAGAGAUCAGAUGCAGCAGCAGCCGGAACCCACAGUUCACCUUGGUGCAUUCCUUUAUGAUGAAGACUUAUUGAUUCAUUAUAUGAGAAAGGAAAAAUGAGCAGAAACUACUGUAUGAUGUGCAGCUCACACCAGACAGCAACUUUAGGGUUAUCUUUCCAGUUCAGCAGUGCAACUCUAUGGAGUAGAAUUGAAAGGAGACUUUUCGCCAAUUGCAGGAAAUGGUCAUAAAAAAAUACCUGCUCACUGACAGAAUAAAGGUACCUUUUAACUUAGUCAAA
ensembl:lncRNA novel transcript